rnacentral:rRNA from 1 species
GACGAGCCACACGACCGUUAUUCGGAAUUACUGGGCUUAAAGGGUGCGUAGGCGGUGCGGAAAGUUGGGUGUGAAAUCCCUCGGCUCAACCGAGGAACUGCGCCCAAAACUACCGUACUUGAGGAAGAUAGAGGUGAGCGGAACUUACAGUGGAGCGGUGAAAUGCGUUGAUAUUGUAAGGAACACCCGUGGCGAAAGCGGCUCACUGGGUCUUUUCUGACGCUGAUGCACGAAAGCUAGGGGAGCAAACGGG